rnacentral:rRNA from 1 species
AUGGCCAAGAAGUGUUUUGGCACUAUUGCCUCCCUCCUCCUGCCCUGCCUCGCACGGCCGACCCACACCGCUGUUUCAAAUAGUGCCGCCGCAACAGGUGUGGAGGACAAGAAGAACCUUUACGUGGUCAUGGGAGGCAUGGGGAACCAUCCGGGCCUCCCAGCCAACUACGAACGUGGUUUGACCAACAACGACGCCGACACCUUCACCGGGCACACGAGAAAACUUGGUGGCAUUUGGAGAGGCGUUGGGAGUGAGACCGAGCACGGCGGUGUGGGUGGCACAGACAGUGUUCCUUUCAGCGGCUACGGUAGUUCUGUCAGUUCAUUAAACCACAGAGGUGCCCGCGGCAUCAGGUCUUCUCUCUGUCCUCAUGCUAGGCUGGUACUUGAAGUUUGA